CCGUCACCACCUUUCCCCAUCACAGUUCGAAGAUUCACUGCUCACGACGCCGUGCGCGCUGUCAUCGCUCUUCAUCGUUGAGGAUAUUUGACGGGAGGCAAAACGGCCCUGAUACACGCUCCCUUUUCCGGCACACCGACGUCGACCAGCGGUUUUGCACUUAAGCAUUUCGCAAAGGCGAUAGGGUCUACCACGCGUUUUGCGCGGACGCUCCUAAUCCGACACGCGCGCUCACGUCUGUAAUGAUGGCCGCAUCGCGUGUCCUGGUGCUGGUGACUGUGUGCCUGCUCUGCGCGCUGUGCGCACGCGUCGUCGCGGCCACCUCCGUGCACGCUGGCGUGUACGCGAAGCUGCUGCCAGGAAAGGAGUUCUGCGCUGACUACCACGCCUACCGCGAUCCGCAGAGUGACCCAGUGCCGGUGACAUUUCAUCACCGCUGCAUCGAUCCGCGCCUGGCUGGCAUUACUACAAAGCUGUACGGCCCCAGUAGCGAGCCGCUCAAGCGCGGGCCGGAGAUCCCUUUAUCAGAAACCAUCGACACCUUCGGCGACAUCUCGCAGAUACUCUUCUACGCCGAGAAGACCGGCAUCUAUAAGAUGUGCUUUCUGCUUCCCCUCAAGAAGCCCGCCAUGCGCUUCGAGAUGUCCUUCAGCGCGGCCAACGACAUCGUCGAGCCGCCCAAGGUAGAGGACGGGGCCUUCGUGGUGGACAAGCCGCCAGAGAUGGCCGACUACGCCGACCGCCUGCGCAUGUUGAACUUGUCCGUAGAGACAACCGUGGACGAGCUCCGCAUGUACCAGACGCGGCGGUACUUCUUCGACAAGACGGUCAACUCCGCCUUUUGCGUUUGCGUCUUUAGUGUGCUGCUGAACAUCGCCAUCGCCGUGGGGCUCACCUUGUGGUCGGAGAAGUAUCUGAAGCGGUACUUUGUAAAGCAGAAAAUUGCAUAAGUCCCCUUUUCCUCCCCCCCCCAUCCCUCACACACACACACACGCACACAAACGCAAAACAACAAGAGAAACCGAUCACUACAUAGGGCCCAUGAUUGCGGGGUCGAAUCGGAGGAGGGGCAAAAUCGGCGUGAAUUCUAGUAUGGCUGGGCGCGGCUAGCGUCCUUGAUGUCGAGACACUUACCGUUGAGGCGCCUCCUGGCGCUCCACAAGAACGUCGCGGCAGCAGUUGAGCGCGUUACCGUGAUUCGCUGUCUUCUUUCGUUUUCUCUCGGUCGCCUUGUCUCCGAGAUUUCCCCCCCCCCCCGUCCUUUGUGCAGGUCGUUGUUUCGAUAUUUUUUUUUUGCUUUGUCGGGAGGGACGUCGCUGUGGAAAAGCAACUAGCGGUGUAUGUGCGGUGCGUCUCCCGUCCUACCCGGCCCCCUCUCGCAUGGAGGCAUGUACAGGAAAAAUUGGCGAAGCAGAAAAAUGCUGCGCUAAAGCGUCGACGGACGACGCGAAAAACGCAACGACUGCCGUUCAUCUUAGGCACCGCACAAGAUGACGAAGUCGGAACGGCACCGUUCGGCUCUUUGGUGUAUUUUUUUUGUUCGUUUGAGUCGCACUCGGCUUCUGCGCGCGUGGUGCAGUACAGACAUCACAUCAGACGCUUCUCGCCUCUCUCACAUUUUCUCUGACCCGCGGCUCUCCUCUUGGUCCUUUUGUUGUGUCGUGGUUGGGGACGCGCUCUGCUUCGUCUGUCGCCCCGGCCGUACACCGCGUGGCCCUCCUUCUGUUGGCCGUGCGGCACGACAGUCGAAGGACGAGCCACGCUUCCCCUCCCACCCG
rnacentral:misc_RNA from 1 species